ACUAUGCUGCAUGGUCGUUGGAGUUCAUUCAGAGAAUCUGCAUGGGGAUUAAUCCUGAGAGAGGAUCAAAGGCAUACAGUGGACAGGCACCCAGCAGAAAAACUGGAAAGAUGGUCCAGAAGAAACCAUCAACAGUGAACCUGCAUGUCUGCACCCUAAUCAGGAAGCUCAACGACUUCAAGUGGGACUUUGUUUGAUCUUCUCUCAUAGCAUUGUAUUGUUUAGGUGCAGAUACCAUUUGUCAAUUAUCAAUGAACAAUAUAUGCCGAUAAAUACUGAUCGAUUUUGUGUUGUUUAGUUUAGUUAUUGCAGCUGAUAGAGCUGUAUUAUUGUAUUGGCCAGUUUCCCUGUUUGCAGUGUAUUGGGAUCGUGACUGGCUAUAUAAUGGUGUGUGACUCCAUGGAGCUCAACAGGGACUUCUCACUUUUUUUUUUACGGUGGUUCCAGAAGUGUUUCAUUGACAUUUCAAAAAUUGCUCAUAUAUAGGUUUAACCCUGGAACUGAGCCAACCAGCUACAAGAUGAGUUACUAGUUUUGGUGAUUAUAAAACAUUUGAUUCAGCACUAAAAAACAUUUUGAAAACAAGUUACAAUACUGUUUAGAGAAACUAUCAUAGAUGUUCAAUGGUAGAGGCUCGCUCUAGCCGUUCACGGUUUUGUGGAUACGGUAAACGUGUCUAUGGUAACGAGUUGGGCCAAUCAGAGACAUUACUGUUACACUUAGGAUUGUGGGUAGUGUAAUUUCUCUCCAUAAGAUCACACAUAAAACAUGUUUUUCUUAAUGCAAGUUUGAUUUCAUACGGACCUCUUGCUUUUACAACCUUGUAGCUCGGGGUCAGUCUGCCUCGGAUGAUUUAGAUUGCUAAUGAUAGACACAUUUUCUAUUGUAUGCAGACGAGUGCGUAUGUUGGAUGUCACGAACACGCCGCAAAACGGGUGUUAACUUUUUCUGCUACGGCAUUGAUACAGUUCACAAAACUGCAAACUGCUGUACCUUUCUUUAAAAGUGCUGUAUACUCACAUGAUAUUUACUAUACAGUAUAAAUAAAGAGUUAAUUAGAUUUUGAA